GUUACGAAAUGUCAAUUUUUGUUUUGAUGGUAGCUUACGAGAAAACAUGUAAAUUAAAAAUCGCAAAUAUUGGGUUUGAGAAUUAAACAUAUUUUUUCUAGCGGUUAUUAACGAAAUAAUCAAUGCAAGCUAAAGAUUUAUGAGAAUAUUUGAGCUUUAUCUAACCAGGAGUAAAACAAAGAACAGCUACACACACGGCAUACCCAUCCUCGCUUCAGUAUUUGAAUGAACUUAUUUGUCCUAUUAGAAUCGAAAUAAUUCAUGGAAGCCAUAGAUUUGUUGUAAAUUUACA
rnacentral:lncRNA from 1 species